UUGGGAAAGUGGUGGAAACUUUAGAAGGAAGAACUUAUUUAUAAGAAGUAGGUCACAGAUGUGUCUUUUGAGAGUUAUUUUGUGCCCAGUCCUUUCUUUUCUCUCUCUCUGUAUUCCCAGGCCCACCAUGAGAUAAGCAGCUUGGGUCCACCACUACUUUCUGCUUCACCAAAAGCCUAGUAAAAAUGAAUCCAACCAACCAUGAGCUGCAACUUCUGAAAUCAUGAGCCGAAAUAACUCUUUCCUUCCUCAAAGUUGAUAUCUGUCAGGUAUUUUUGUCAUAGCAAUGAGAAUCUAAAUAAAAUAUCGAGUAACAUUUGUUUCACUGACACACACUCUUGGGAAACUUCAUUAAAUCACAAUCUUGUCCUACACAAUGGAGUCACAUCAUUAGUAGAAGCAUAAUAAAGACCUCUUGUUGACAAUACUUAAAUAUAUCACACAAUGUUAUUUAUUAACUAAUUUUGAAAAAUAUAUGCUUUUAUUAUUUCUUUAAUUUUUUUUCAAAAUAUAUCUGCAUGUGAAAUAAAUAUUGAUUAACACUAAAGGAAUUUUAACAUAGAAAUAAUCUUUAGAACCGUUUCAAAAUAGAAUUUAAAGCAUUUGCAUUGUGAUUUUCUUAACAUUUUAGGUAAUUGUUAUAGUUUAGAUAUAGGUGUACCACAAAAACUCCCAUGUGAAAAAACGCAAGAAAGUUAAGAGGUGAAAUUAUUUAAAGUUAUGAGAGUCUUAACCCAAGCAGUGUAUUCAUCAUUUGAAUGGAUUAGCUGGGUGUUAACUCAAGGGAACUGGAGGAAGUGGGUCUUUGGAGGCAUGACUUUGGGCAUAUAUUUUGUCCCUGUGGAGCAGAGUGUCUCUUUAUGCUCCCUGGUGCCAUGUCCAAAACUGCUUUCCUUCUCCACACCUUUCCUCCAAGAUGUUGUGCCUUCCUUCUGGCUUAUACCAGCAAAACUGGCCAUCUAUAAACUGACACCAUCAUUUUUUGGUACUGGGGACUGAACCCAGGGGCACUUGAUCACUAAGACACAUCCCCAGCCCUUUCUAAAAAUUUUAUUUAGAGACAGGAUCUCACUGAAUUGCUUAGGGCUUCAUCUAGUUUCUGAGGCUGGCUUUGAACUCCCCAACUUCCUCUCUCAGUCUUAGAGGCCACUGGGAUUACAGGCAUGCACCAUCACACCCAGAUGGACUGAAACCUUUGAAAAUAUAAGUUCCCAAUAAAAUUUACUGCAUUUAAAAUUGUU
rnacentral:lncRNA from 1 species